rnacentral:tRNA from 1 species
AAAUAGGAAGCUGUAAUAGCACCUAAUUUCGACUUAGUUUUUGAGAGUAAACUCUCUCCCUAUUUA